AAGUCGUAACAAGGUUUCCGUAGGUGAACCUGCGGAAGGAUCAUUAUCGAAUAUAAACUUGGGUAGAUUGUUGCUGGCUUUUCUUCGAGGAGCAUGUGCACGUUUAUCCUCUUUAUUUUUCCACCUGUGCACCUUUUGUAGGCUUGGAUUAUAGUGGUUCUAACGUUGUCUUUCAAAGGCAUAAGAAUUUUUUGGGACUGCUGUGUUUAAACGCAUGUUUAUCGGCUUUCCCUUUUAUUUUCCAAGUCUAUGUUUUUCAUAUACACUCGAGAAAUAUAAUAGAAUGCUGUACUUUUAGGUCAUUCGUACCUAUAAUAAAAUCAGUACAACUUUCAGCAACGGAUCUCUUGGCUCUCGCAUCGAUGAAGAACGCAGCGAAAUGCGAUAAGUAAUGUGAAUUGCAGAAUUCAGUGAAUCAUCGAAUCUUUGAACGCAUCUUGCGCUCCUUGGUAUUCCAAGGAGCAUGCCUGUUUGAGUAUCAUUAAAUUAUCAACUGUACCAAAUUGGUUACAGAUUGGAUGUGGGGGGAANUUUGCAGGCUUUUUUGAUUUCUCUUGAAAGUCUGCUCCNCUGAAAUGNAUUAGCAGUGCCUUUGUUGGUUCCUUAGGUGNGAUAAUUUAUCUACAUCUUUACAUGGNACCUUCAUUUGAAAGGUUGUAUUGCUUCUAAUUGUCUAUGGACAAAAUGAAAUGUAUAACNAACUUGAUCUCAAAUCAGGCAGGACUACCCGCUGAACUUAAGCAUAUCAAUAAGCGGAGNNAAAGAAACUAACAAGGAUUNCCCUAGUAACUGCGAGUGAAGCGGGAAAAGCUCAAAUUUAAANUCUGACGGUUGUUUUGGCUGUCCGAGUUGUAAUCUAGAGAAGUGUUACCCGCGCUGGACCGUGUACAAGUCUCCUGGAAUGGAGCAUCAUAGAGGGUGAGAAUCCCGUCUUUGACAUGGACUACCAGGGCUUUGUGGUGCGCUCUCAAAGAGUCGAGUUGUUUGGGAAUGCAGCUCAAAAUGGGUGGUAAAUGUCAUCUAAAGCUAAAUAUUGGCGAGAGACCGAUAGCGAACAAGUACCGUGAGGGAAAGAUGAAAAGAACUUUGGAAAGAGAGUUAAACAGUACGUGAAAUUGCUGAAAGGGAAACGCUUGAAGUCAGUCGCAUCGACUGGAAAUCAACCUUUGCUUUUGCUUGGUGUAUUUUCUGGCUUGAUGGGUCAGCAUCAAUUUUGAUCGCUGGAUAAAGGCUUGGGGAAUGUGGCAUCUUAGGAUGUGUUAUAGCCCUGGGUUGCAUACAGCGGUUGGGAUUGAGGAACUCAGCACGCCGCAAGGACGGGUUUCGACCACGUUUACGUGCUUAGGAUGCUGGCAUAAUGGCUUUAAUCGACC
rnacentral:rRNA from 1 species